rnacentral:piRNA from 1 species
UGCAAAGAAAUGUGCCAUCUCCUUAC